rnacentral:rRNA from 1 species
UACGGGGGGGGCAAGCGUUGUUCGGAAUUACUGGGCGUAAAGGGUGCGUAGGCGGUCUGUUAAGUUGGAUGUGAAAACUCUGGGCUCAACCCAGAGCCUGCAUCCAAAACUGGCAGGCUAGAGUUCUGGAGGGGGUAGCGGAAUUUACGGUGUAGCGGUGAAAUGCGUAGAUAUCGUAAGGAAGACCAGUGGCGAAGGCGGGUCUCUGGACAGUUCCUGACGCUGAGGCACGAAGGUCAGGGGAGCAAACGGGG